UAGGGAAUCUUCGGCAAUGGGGGGAACCCUGACCGAGCAACGCCGCGUGAGUGAAGAAGGUUUUCGGUUCUUAAAGCUCUGUUGUUAAGGAAGAACGAGUGUGAGAAUGGAAAGUUCAUGCUGUGACGGUACUUAACCAGAAAGGGACGGCUAUCUACGUGCCAGCAGCCGCGGUAAUACGUAGGUCCCGAGCGUUGUCCGGAUUUAUUGGGCGUAAAGCGAGCGCAGGCGGUUAGAAAAGUCUGAAGUGAAAGGCGGUGGCUCAACCAUUGUAGGCUUUGGAAACUGUUUAACUUGAGUGCAGAAGGGGAGAGUGGAAUUCCAUGUGUAGCGGUGAAAUGCGUAGAUAUAUGGUAGAACACCGGUAGCGAAAGCGGCUCUCUGGUCUGUAACAGACGCUGAGGCUCGAAAGCGUGGGGAGCGAACAGG
rnacentral:rRNA from 1 species